GUGGUUGAUACAUGCAAGUCGAACGGGAAAGCUCCCUUCGGGGAGCGAGUACAGUGGCGGACGGGUGAGUACACGUGGUCACGUACCCCCGAGACCGGUAUAGCCGCCCGAAAGGGUGGAUAAUCCCGGAUAAUGCUGCGACGUCGCCUGGCGUUGCAGCCAAAGGUUUACUCCGCUCGGGGAGCGGAUCGCGGCCUAUCAGCUUGUUGGUGAGGUAACGGCUCACCAAGGCGACGACGGGUAGCCGGCCUGAGAGGGUGAACGGCCACACUGGGACUGAGACACGGCCCAGACUCCUACGGGAGGCAGCAGUGCUGAAUCAUUCACAAUGGGCGCAAGCCUGAUGAUGCGACGCCGCGUGGAGGAUGAAGGCUUUCGGGUUGUAAACUCCUGUCAGGGAUUAGGAAUUUUGACCAAUCCCAGAGGAAGCACCGGCUAAAUUCGUGCCAGCAGCCGCGGUAACACGAAUGGUGCAAGCGUUGUUCGGAAUCACUGGGCAUAAAGAGUGCGUAGGCGGCGCGGUAAGUCAACUGUGAAAGCCCCCGGCUCAACCGGGGAAUUGCAGCUGAUACUGCCGUGCUUGAGGGUGCGAGGGGUGAGCGGAAUUCCAGGUGUAGCGGUGAAAUGCGUAGAUAUCUGGGAGAACGCCGGAGGCGAAGGCGGCUCACUGGCGCAUACCUGACGCUGAGGCACGAAAGCGUGGGGAGCAAACAGGAUUAGAUACCCCUGGUAGUCCACGCAGUAAACGAUGGGUACUAGGUGGAGGGGAACACCGAUUCACUCUCCGCCGUAGCUAACGCGCUAAGUACCCCGCCUGGGGAGUAUGGUCGCAAGGCUAAAACUCAAAGGAAUUGACGGGGGCUCACACAAGCGGUGGAGGAUGUUGUUCAAUUCGAAGCAACGCGAAGAACCUUACCUGGGCUUGACAUGCUGGUGGUACAACCCCGAAAGGGUGCGGACCCGGGUAAAACCGGGAGCCAGCACAGGUGCUGCAUGGCUGUCGUCAGCUCGUGUCGUGAGAUGUCGGGUUAAGUCCCUUAACGAGCGAAACCCUUGUCGCCAGUUGCUACCGGGUUAUGCCGGGCACUCUGACGAGACUGCCGGUGUCAAACCGGAGGAAGGUGGGGACGACGUCAAGUCAUCAUGGUCCUUACGUCCAGGGCUACAAACGUCCUACAAUGGCCGGUACAAUGAGAAGCAAUGCCGCGAGGCGGAGCCAAUCUCCAAAGCCGGCCCUAGUUCAGAUUGGAGGCUGCAAUUCGCCUCCAUGAAGGUGGAAUCGCUAGUAACCGGAGAUCAGCAAUGCUUCGGUGAU
rnacentral:rRNA from 1 species